rnacentral:rRNA from 1 species
UGAUUAGCUAGUUGGCGGGGUAAAGGCCCACCAAGGCAACGAUCAGUAGCCGGCCUGAGAGGGCGGUCGGCCACACUGGCACUGAAAUACGGGCCAGACUCCUACGGGAGGCAGCAGUGGGGAAUUUUGGGCAAUGGCCGAAAGGCUGACCCAGCAACGCCGCGUGAAGGAUGAAAUUUUUCGGAAUGUAAACUUCGUAAAUUAGGAAAGAAUAAGUUUGCAUUAAUACUGCAAGCGAUGACGGUACCUAAUGUAAGCCCCGGCUAACUCCGUGCCAGCAGCCGCGGUAAUACGGGGGGGGCAAGCGUUGUUCGGAAUUAUUGGGCGUAAAGGGCGCGUAGGCGGUCAGACUAAGUCGAAUGUAAAAUACCAAGGCUUAACCUAGGCAGGUCGUUCGAUACUAGUCGACUAGAGUGUGGAAGGGGUUGCUGGAAUUCCUGGUGUAGCGGUGAAAUGCGUAGAUAUCAGGAGGAACACCGGAGGCGAAGGCGGGCAACUGGGCCAACACUGACGCUGAGGCGCGAAAGCUAGGGGAGCAAACAGGAUUAGAUACCCUGGUAGUCCUAGCCUUAAACGAUGAUGACUUGGUGUGUCGGGUUUUAAGUCCCGGCGUGCCGGAGCUAACGCGAUAA